rnacentral:lncRNA from 1 species
GCACAAUGAGUGUAGGGCUGAGGCCAAGACCAGGCGUCCGCGGAAGGCAGCCAUUUCAAAAACCUCUCCAUUGCCGAAGACCCCGCGCCAGGAAAAGGCUGUCAUUCCGAUGAAUACCAAGGUGGAAAUCAAGAAUGGAAAUCAGCCAAAGGCAGACGAUCCACUGCCUUCAUUUGAGGUCGUUCCCAAUCUACAUCCGAAUCGGCACCAUUGCAAACAGUUCACGCGCGUGACACCGGCCCGUCGUGGUCGUGGCCGACCUCCAGGGUCGCGAAGUCUGACCCGAGCUGACGCCGAUAAAAAUGCUGUUAUCUCGCACGAAUUUCCAGAGCUUCAGCGACCCCCAAACCUUCUUAACAACUACGGAACUCAAGUGAAAAUCGAUCCACUCCCAGUCGAACCAGUCCUUGAUCGACUCAGCAUAACGGCUAUCCUGAUGCCUUUAAAUCUGAAGAUCGAGCGCACAUACAGCCAGACCCUGAUCAAGGCUCUACGUUGUUGUGCAGACUCUUGGCCAUUCAACAUCUCGUUGAUCUGGAUGCAUUAUGGAGAAAAUCUUGAUAAUGACUUCCAUGAUGAGCCUCUGGAUUGGGACAUACUGGAGAAGAUGCUGGCGGGCGAGCAGUUUAAGGGCUGGGACUGGUUUCUGACUAAGUUACACCGAAUGCUGCAGAACGCAAUGUCCUGCUUCACCGAAUGUCCAUCGAUCCGCACAGCGACACAGAGGACCUUCGAAAAGGUCGUGGAAAUUAUACCUGAUUAUGAAGGACGCAUGGCUCACGUAAAGGCGACGGCUCACGAAGCGGUUCGUUUGAAAUUGGACGCCAUGACACCAUCUCAAAAAGAGGAACUCCUUAAAUAACUUGAAUUAUCCAAGGAAGCAAACAGAAAUCAUUCCUAUUGGUUUUGUA